rnacentral:rRNA from 1 species
CUUUGAACGCACAUUGCGCCCCUUGGUAUUCCGAGGGGCAUGCCUAUUCGAGCGUCAUUAUCACCCCUCAAGCCUAGCUUGGUGUUGAGACCUGCUGUCAAGGCAGUCUCUAAAAUCAGUGGCAGUGCUGUCAGGCUCUAAGCGUAGUAAAUUCAUCGCUAUAGACACCUGGUGGACACUCGCCAGAACCCCCCCAUUUUUUAAUGAUUGACCUCGGAUUAGGUAGGGAUACCCGCUGAACUUAAGCAUAUCAAUAAGCGGAGGAAAAGAAACCAACAGGGAUUGCCUCAGUAACGGCGAGUGAAGCGGCAAAAGCUCAAAUUUGAAAUCUGGCUCUUUUAGGGUCCGAGUUGUAAUUUGUAGAAGAUGUUUCGGGUGUGGCUCCGGUUUAAGUUCUUUGGAAUAUUACAUCAUAGAGGGUGAGAAUCCCGUAUGUGACCGGCAGCCUUCGCCUAUGUGAAACUCUUUCGACGAGUCGAGUUGUUUGGGAAUGCAGCUCAAAAUGGGAGGUAUAUUUCUUCUAAAGCUAAAUAUUGGCCAGAGACCGAUAGCGCACAAGUAGAGUGAUCGAAAGAUGAAAAGCACUUUGGAAAGAGAGUUAAACAGUACGUGAAAUUGUUGAAAGGGAAGCGCUUGCAACCAGACUUGCACGCAGUUGAUCAUCCGGUGUUCUCACCGGGGCACUCUGCUGCGUUCAGGCCAGCAUCGGUUUUGGUGGUUGGAUAAAGGCCUUGGGAAUGUGGCUUCCUUCGGGGAGUGUUAUAGCCCUCGGUGCAAUGCAGCCUACCGGGACCGAGGACC